AGUAACUCUAGAGCUAAUACAUGCAUCAAUCCCUGACUUCCUGGAAGGGGUGUACUUAUUAGAUGGAAACCAGUGCGGGUUCGCCCGGAUUAUGGUGAUUCAUAAUAAUUUUCGGAUCGAUCAAUUGAUCGAUGCAUCAUUCAAGUUUCUGCCCUAUCAGCUUUGGAUGGUAGGGUAUUGGCCUACCAUGGCAUUAACGGGUAACGGAGAAUUAGGGUUCGAUUCCGGAGAGGGCGCCUGAGAAACGGCGACCAGUUCCAAGGAAGGCAGCAGGCGCGUAAAUCACCCAAUCCUGACACAGGGAGGUAGUGACAAUAAAUAACAAUGUCGGGCCUUCGGGUUUGACAAUUGGAAUGAGAACAAUUUAAAUCCCUUAUCGAGGAUCAAUUGGAGGGCAAGUCUGGUGCCAGCAGCCGCGGUAAUUCCAGCUCCAAUAGCGUAUACUAAAGUUGUUGCAGUUAAAAAGCUCGUAGUUGAAUUUCUGGUUUCGGAGUGCGGUCUGCCCCGUGGGGUAAGUAUCAGCGCUCGGGAGCCAUCCUCGAGGAGAACAUGCCUGUGAUUGAGUUCAUGGUAUGGGAGCCUCGUCUUUUACUGUGAGCAAACUAGAGUGUUCAAAGCAGGCUUACGCCGUUGAAUACAUUAGCAUGGAAUAAUAAAAUAGGACUCUGGUCUAUUUUGUUGGUUAGUACUCCAGGGUAAUGAUUAAUAGGGACAGUUGGGGGUAUUCGUAUUC
rnacentral:rRNA from 1 species